rnacentral:rRNA from 1 species
CCUACGGGAGGCAGCAGUGGGGAAUAUUGCGCAAUGGGCGAAAGCCUGACGCAGCGACGCCGCGUGAGGGAGGAAGGUCUUCGGAUCGUAAACCUCUGUCAGCAGGGAAGAACGGUCACUGUGCUAAUCAGCAGUGCAUUGACGGUACCUGCGAAGGAAGCACCGGCUAACUCCGUGCCAGCAGCCGCGGUAAUACGUAGGGUGCGAGCGUUAAUCGGAAUUACUGGGCGUAAAGCGCUCGUAGGCGGUAUGGCAAGUCAAGGGUGAAAUCCCCGCGCUCAACGUGGGAACUGCCUUUGAAACGGGCAAACUGGAGUGUGUGAGAGGAUAGUGGAAUUCCAGGUGUAGGAGUGAAAUCCGUAGAUAUCUGGAGGAACAUCAGUGGCGAAGGCGACUAUCUGGCACAUAACUGACGCUGAGGAGCGAAAGCGUGGGUAGCAAACAGGAUUAGAUACCCGAGUAGUC